UGGUGCAGGCAGAUGUUCUAUAGGCUGGAAAGGCGUCACGGUGCGCAGUGUGCUGGCCGGGCACCCCAGCCAGGCUGCAGUCUCUGGGGGACAGACACUCACUCACCUUUGGGGUCCCUCUCACACCUCGCUCAUGCCUGCUUCCCAGUGAGGGCUCAAGAAACAUUGCUGAUGAUUGAUGUGGGGAGUGAAGCUGGGGUGAGCAGGAAGGGCAAUGGGGUAGGAGUGGGAGCUGGAGGUGACAGGGAACCCAGCUCCAUUGGCGCCACUCUCAACCCCCCACGACAACGCAGGGCUCUCCUUCCCCCGAUUACCAGCCAGUAUGUGUAGGGCCCCUGCGGUGGCUGCCAGCUUGGCCUUCCUGGAGAGCUCCAGGCUCCCGAUGUUGAUGCAGCGCAGCCCCACCAUGCCUAGGAAGAGGCCCAGGAAGCCCAGGAAGAUGGCGGUGAUCAUGAGCGCCCGGCAGGCCUGGAGGUACCCUGGGGAGGUGGGGCGCAGCCAUGGGUCCCUAAGCUGGCCUCUUCACCCCCUCCCCAUAACUGAGCGAGCCCCUUACGACCAGCCCCUGCUCAGGUCUCAGUCCAUAAGGGCCCUCAAGUCCUGUCCUUCCCUUUUGGGCCCUAUUCAGCUGAAGCGGUGACACCCCCUCCUUCCUAGGAGCUCACCUCAAGGCCCCGCCCCUCCGCCCCUGGCUUCUGCGCACUUUCUUACAGGCUGUCUUCCUUGGCACUACUGACACUUUGGCCAGACAAUGCUGUGGUCUGGGGGCCCAUCCUGUGCCGUGUGGGAUGUUUGGCAGCACCCUUGGCCUCUACCCACUAGAUGUCCCCCAAGAGAGACAAUCAAAAUGUCCAGACAUUGUCAAAUGACCCCUGGGGGACAAAAUCACCUCUGGUUGAGAACCACUGCUCUAUCUGAAGGACAGAAAUUGCAGCUGAGUACUCAGCCCCUGCCCCACACUGCUUCUCUCUAGGUCCCACAGGGCACAACUCUCAGACGUCAGGAACUGAGCUUUCUCCUGCAGCAGCCUGUAGGGGGCAGCAGUUGCCUGUGGGUUACUGGGUGAGGGCAGGUUCUGACCUGGAAAAUGGGAUAUCUGGGCGCAGGACCAAUCCAAGCCCAUUUAGCUCAUAUACGUUUGGCGCCUCAGGUUCCCCUUUCUCAAAGAAGAAGGAAAUGGUCAGCUUCCUUCCUGUCCCCCCCUUCUCUCUGAUACUUGCCAACCACCCCAAGGACCUUGCUCCCCUUUCCUGGGUGGGGCAGUGCCACUGGUGCUGAAGAUGCUGGGUCCCUGCCAGGAGGAUGUGAAGUGGCACGGAGUUGGUGGGUAGAGAGGAGGGACAAAGUUCUCUGGGAGCACUUUCUCAUUCCCAGCCACUCCCUCUGGGGUUCCCGCCCUUCCUCCUACCCCGUGUUCUCUCUGUACCCGUCUCUAUCUGGGGCUGACUAGCCCUGGACCCCCAGAUGGCUGUGGUAGACAAAGGAGAGAUUAUUGAUCAGCUGCGAAGGAGUGUGGGCUGGGCAGCUGUGGGGGAUUAAAUGACAGUCAGGACCCUUCUCGGGGACCAGAGUGGCCUUGGAAGUAGCCGCCAGCCUGGGUUCCAGCGCGCCUACCACCUGUGGGACUGUGGGCAGGUUAACGCUUGGGCUUGUAGUUUUCCAGCUUCGGUGGAACAAGGAAAUGAGGUUACUAGCGUUGUAGACGGCACUGCGCUGGAAUGCGGGAGGGACCUAGCACUAUGUCGGUGCCCAGAUGACGCCCGGUGCUGGGCCAGGCUCUUGCCCCUCCAUCAGCAGUUCCAAGUGGGGCCCUUACAGGCCCACUGCAAAGGCCCUUCCUCACACGCGCUGUGGUUGAGGAGAUGGGUGAGGCGGGAGGGCCAGUGCUGCUAAGCUGGCUGGCUCCAACGUCCCUUCUGGUUACCCAGCAUUCUGGGCUUCUGGUGCAGAUGGUCCCCAGCUUUUAUGGGAGCUUUGGGAAGCAGCGCCCCGCACAUGGCAAAUCCUGGAGGGAGGGGUGAAGGCACGAAGCCCCUACUGCUGCAUCAGGAGAUUCUGGAACAGUAGGGGUACGAGAGACCCACCCAAACCCCCUAGCCACGCAGAGCAUCUGUGUCAUUCCUGGGGCCCUGUGCCACACCCAGUGUUGGCUUUAGUUCCAUCCACUGCCCAGCACCUAUGGUAGGGGACCCGAAAGAGCAUGAUGGCGCCAAGGAGGGUGUGGGAGCAGCACCAAAAAAGGGCCCUGGUCCUCUUCUCCUGGUCUCUGGCAUGGGUCCUAUGGAAGAGAGCCCCCCGAGGGAUGCUGGGUGCCGCUCGUUAGGUGAGGGGGAGCCAGGGACACGGUACUGCACCAAGGAGAGCCCUCUGGACCAAAAGACCUGUAGGUUCCAGCCUGCCCAGAACUUCAAAGACGCCACUGCCCGAGAGCGCUGAACACACACACACACACACACACACACACACGCACACGCAUGCAUGCACACCCGCCCCCCCACCGCAGCUACUUCCACUAGACACUCGGAGCUGUGGAGAGACUCACUUUAAAAGGGCCCUUUAGAAUUCGCUAUGGCAGUAGCACCAAUGCCCGUUAAGUGCCUCAACCCCAAGAACCCAAGAUGGGGCCUCCUCUUCGCCCCCACGGACCCCAGCACUCUCACGGCAAAGCUAAGGUGAACUCGGUGUGCACGCAGGCUAACGUAUCAGGCUCACAUACCAGGCUUUAGCUGCACACUCACAGCCAUCCCAUGGGCCUGUGCUAAUCCCCCCGAGUUUACAGACUGCAUAAACGAAGCUCUUUUCAUCACCUGCCUGAGGCACGGAGCUGGUCAACUGGGCCGGGAAGUCUGGCCCCAGUACCUGCACUUGUAACCACUAGGAGUGUCACCUUAAGGCAGGGGGACACGUGGGAUGAGGUCUCCACGGCGCUCCAGAUUGGGGCUGCCCCCCGCACUCCCAGCUCCCCGAGCUUGACCAGACCUCCCUUAACAGCACAGUGCCCAAGGCCCGACCAUGGGCAGCGGUCACCCUCCCAGGGUCUCUCCCGCCUCCCGCCUCCCACCUCCCUCUGUGCCCCGGAGCUCUCCCCACCCCAUACCGGAGAGGGCCAGCAAGGACGGGAACUCCCGGCAGCUGUAGACUCCCAGGGAGUCGGUGGCACAGCUAAACCAGAGGUUCUCGAAGAUGGUGUUGGUGGUGAUGACGCUCCCAUGCACGGUGGACACUCGCCAGUAGCUGUGUGGCAGGGUCACCCCCAGCAUCAGCAGCCCCAGGGCCGCCAUGAAGAAGCCGAAGAUCUCCACGGCCACCGACAUGGUUCCUGCUUCCCCGAAGGUCUGGGUAGAGGAGUGAGCCCAGAGCGCUGGGCAGCUGUUGACGAGGAGAUGGAGGGAAUCAACGGAACAGGCCAAAAGUCCACCCCCUCCCCCCAGCCUCUGGGCUGCUCUGGGCUCCCCGCCCCAUAAGGGGGGCGGAGAGGACUAAUGGGAGUGACCAACAACGGAUGUACAGAUGCGGCUGAGGGGGGCCUCCAUGGGAGGCAGUGGGAGCCGAGGGGAAGCAGGGAAGCAGCUCUGACUCAGCUCUCAUCCCAGGGCCAGACAAUGGAGAAGGACAAGGAAAGAGAAGGUGACUGAGAGGCAGAGAGUGGCCACAGACAGCCCUUCCAUGGGGCAGGAUCCGGGGAGUGGAGCCACCCUCCUGGAUGUUGGUGAGAACAAUAUAAGAAACUCCAAAGACCUAGAGGGUUUGGGCCAUCGAGUCGCCAAGAUGAAGGCUGAGUAAGGGAGCGGGGUGUCUGGGUGGAGCCCAUGGCUCUGGAGUCCACCCAGCCUGGAUUCAAACCAGACCCACCAUUUGCCAGAGCCACACGGGCAGGGAUCUGAGCCCCCUGGGCCUGUUCCUGUCCCUGUGAACGAGAACUAGCUUCCUUACCGCUGUGACCCCAGAUCAAAAGCUCCCUGUGAGUGUGAACUGCUCCAUGCUUGGCGACCACCCUGGCUCUGGGUGCCAGGGCCUGGGGUGAGGCCACCAGUGUGUCACUGCUCUCCAGACUUCCAACUUCUUGAACUUGAAUUUCCCCCCUUGUUGGGUUGAUCUUUGACUCUCGGCAACAAGCUUGAUCUUGCUGCCAAAGGCCACCAAAGGGGAAUAAAUCACAGGCCCAGAACGUGAUCCCGUGGCUAAUCUAAGCAGUCA